CACAAAGAUUUGGUCCUGAUCUUAAAAUCAACUCUUACUUAACCUACACAUGCAAGUUUCCGCACCCCUGUGAAAACGCCCCUAAACCCUUAUGAGUUAAGGGAGCAGAUAUCAGGCACCAAUUAUUCUGCCCAAGACAUCUAGCUAUGCCACACCCACAAGGGCCUUCAGCAGUGAUUAACAUUGAACAUAAGCAACAGCUUGAUUCAGUCAAAGUAAACAGGGCCGGCAAAUCUGGUGCCAGCCGCCGCGGCUACACCAGUGACCCAAAUUGAUUUCUAUCGGCGUAAAGCGUGAUUAAAGCCCUUUUAAAACUAGAGCUAAACACAGACUAAAUUGUCAAAUAUUUAUCCUUAAGGAAACCCAUAUAACGAAAGUUGCUCUACUCAAUCCAACUUGAAUUCACGAAAGUUAGGACACAAACUGGGAUUAGAUACCCCACUAUGCCUCUCUGCAAACUUUAACUUACAUCUCAAUCGCCAGGGAACUACGAGCAAAGCUUAAAACCCAAAGGACUUGACGGUGCCCCAUAUCCCCCUAGAGGAGCCUGUCCUACAACCGAUACUCCCCGUUUAACCUCACCACUUCUAGCUCAUCAGCCUGUAUACUUCCGUCGCCAGCUUACCACGUGAGCGAAACUCAGUUAGCUUAAUGUCCACGUGUUACCACACUAUAUCGUCAAUACGUCAGGUCAAAGUGCAGCAAAUGUUGUGGGAAGAGAUUGGCUACACUUUUUAAUAUAAAAAAAACGAAAGACAAAAUGAAACUUUGUCAGAAGGUGGAUUUAGUAGUAAAAAGAAACCAUAAAAUUCAUUUUAAUCCAGCACUGGGGCGUGUACACACCGCCCGUCACCCUCUUCAAAAACCUUUAAAUAGUUCAUAACACCUUAUACAACUAAAGAAGAGGCAAGUCGUAACAUGGUAAGUAUACCGGAAGGUGUUCUUGGAAA
rnacentral:ncRNA from 1 species